rnacentral:lncRNA from 1 species
CGGUAGUUAGAUGUACACACACAUACACACACACAUCUGUGUAUAUAUAUAGUGCUUCUGAGGGUGGAUUGGUUGGUUUCCUUAGAGAAUCCUCUCGUUUGGUCAUUUCCCAGAGAGCUUGGGAUGCUCUCGGGAAUGCACCAGCGUCGUUCCAGCGCUGUCCGCAGAGGGGCCGGGACCUUCCCGCAGUGAGGGGACUUGGGUUGAGGUGUUCAUUUGAAUUUCGUGCACCUCACAGAAAACACGGCCAGGCUUUUGCUGCUUUAUUUGUAAUAACCGCCAAACACUCUUGGAAACGAGUAUGCCUUUAGGUAUGACUGUCCUCCUCUGUCUCAGAGGUGUAGAGAAAACUGGAUCCUGGAAACAUCUUGGAAGGGAUUCUAAACUGUGACUGAGAGAAUAAAAAUACUCUGUGUGUUUUGUGUAAUGAGAUAAGGAAAAGUCUCUGUUUUUCAGUCCUAGGUCAAUAGAGUAGUCUCUCUGUCGUUAAUAAUUGAAGCUGCAAAGCUCCCACUCCUUUGAAGUCUAUGGCAGUAUUGCCUGAGUCAAGACUACAAGAUUCAUCUUACUUGUACUGCUUUUUAAAAGUGUACGUCCCCUACUGCAUAAAUGAAAUGCUGCUCAAAGUGUAGAGCUCUAAACAAAGUUCCUGCAGUCCUUCUGCUGGAGUCUGUUUGCCCAGGAAUUCCCUAUUUUGGCUUGACUUUGUGAGAAGAGAGCUUCCAGCCCCUCAGGACAGUGUCAGCUGCAUGCAAUCAGCAGUAUUUGCCAUCUCUCUUAGAAAUCCAAAAAGAACAUAUUGGUUAUCAGGAAAUGGAUGAAUCAGUACCCUCCAGAGGCAGAGCUCAGUUGGGGAAAAAUUUCAAGAUAUGGAGAACAGAUAUCAAUGAACAUAAACAAUACUGCUGUGAGAAGAGAGAGCUGGGACUACUCAAGGCUCACAUGAAUUCCUACAGGAGAUGUUGGCUUGUGUCAUCUGUUACAUGA